CACAGCCCACGGAGCAUGGAAGAAAUGCCCUGGAAUGAAACUGGUUCUUGGGGGCCUCGCUCAUCAGAGCAUCAGAACUCGACACUCAGUCCAGCUUGUCUGUUCAGAUCCUUUCACUGCAGAAAGUUCCACUUCUGGUCACUGCAUAUUGAGAUGUCCCCUACAGGGCAUCUAUCCGUCAGCAAAGCACCCCCCUUCCCUUGGCUAAGCCACAUUGGCGGGGGCUGUCCUGGGGAUGGGAGGAGCCUAAGACACUGAGGCACAGAACCCAGUGACCAGAAGUUUCCCCCAGACACCUCCGUGUCUUCUAGAAGCAUCUGUUCAUUCUUAACGUUCUGGAUCAUUCUUGAUUUUGCUAUUUCUCCUCUCCUGGUCAGGCUUCAUCUUUUACCAUUUCCCCUCCAGACUUUUAGGAAGGAACAGCUCUAAGGAGAUUACAACUCCCAGGGGCUGGCCAGAGGAAAGCGCCAGCUCCUCAAACACAGAAGGUGGAACGAGAAGGAGGAGGAAAGCAAGAGAAGCACGCACAUUUUCUUAAAUCCAGAGAUGGAAACGGAACCCUUCUUACUGAGCCUUCUCCAGAUGAACGUGACCAGAAAUUCCUGGAGGCAUUGCCCUGGCUUUCUUCCCCGAGUCCCUCGGCUGAACUUCUAAUUCACUCCAAGAGUGUGUUGGGUCCUACCUACUUUCUUGAAAGGGGCUUAUUUUGAACGCAUAUAGCUUUCAGCCCUGCAUUUCUAUUCCUAGGAACUUACCCUAUAGUUUUACUAGCACACAUGGAGAAUUAUAUAUAUAAGUCCAACAAAGUUAGCCUAGGUCCCCAGCUAAUACAAUCAGCUGUAUAGGUUUAUAAUACUGUAACAGUAUUAAUACUAUAAUACUGUACUGUAAUAGGUUUAUGAUAGUUUUCACACAAGCGAUACAUAUAAAACAAACACACAAAGAGAUU